GACGAACGCUGGCGGCGUGCUUAACACAUGCAAGUCGAACGGAAAGGCCUGCUUUCCCUUGUGGAUUGCGGGUACUCGCGUGGCGAACGGGUGAGUAACACGUGAGUGAUCUUCCGCCAACUUGUGUAUAAGCCUGGGAAACUGGGUCUAAUUCCCUCUAGGACUGCAGGGUGGUGCCUGUGGUUGAAAACGAUUUUCUAGUGGUUGGGGAUGAGCUCGCGGCCUAUCAGCUUGUGGGUGGGGUAAUGGCUCACCAAGGCGGCGUCGGGUAGCCGGCCUGGGAUGGUGGGCGGGAACGGUGGAACUGCGAUACGGGGCAGAAUCCUACGGCAGGAAGCAGUGGGGAAUAUGGAACGAUGAAUGGAAGCCUGAUGCAGGAACGCUGAGUGAGCAACGACGGCCGUCGGGUUGUGACCUCCGGUCGGCCGCGCGGAAGCCCCCUGGUUGGAAGGGUGGUGACGGUAGUGGUAGAAGAAGCACCGGCUAACUACGUG
rnacentral:rRNA from 1 species